UACGGAGGGGGCUAGCGUUGUUCGGAAUUACUGGGCGUAAAGCGCACGUAGGCGGCUUUGUAAGUUAGAGGUGAAAGCCCGGAGCUCAACUCCGGAACUGCCUUUAAGACUGCAUCGCUAGAACGUCGGAGAGGUGAGUGGAAUUCCGAGUGUAGAGGUGAAAUUCGUAGAUAUUCGGAAGAACACCAGUGGCGAAGGCGACUCACUGGACGACUGUUGACGCUGAGGUGCGAAAGCGUGGGGAGCAAACAGG
rnacentral:rRNA from 1 species